CAACACAACACAAAUACACAAAAAGAAACCAAUGUGCCUAAACCACCACCAAGUACACAACGAUAAAGAAAAAGCAACGUUAUUCGAUAUUACUAUUGCGUAAAACGACCGAAAUGUCUACACAAAACAAUCAAGAAGAAUGGGAGUUCAAAUAUUUUAGAAAGUUGAAGUAUUUUCAAGCACAAUGUGCAAUGUGUCCACGUUCUGUUUCAACCAUUUUUAUGUACCGAAAUAUGGAAAGUGUGGAUGACCAUUUCGGAAUAAACCCACAUGACGAAAGUAAAAAACUUCAUCCGAAACGGCAGCAUUUUACUAAAAUUGACGAUUGGUGCAUAAAAUGUAAUAUUUGUGGUCACAUUUAUACGAUCAAAUAUCCAAUCACAAUAUUAGAGGUACAUUUAUUUUCGGAUCAUAAAAUGCGUGUAUCCUUAGAAUUAGAUUUUAAACAAACGAGUUUUAUAUGGGACCAUAUUCAAGAGCUUGAAAUAGACAAAAAUUAUGUAAGGUGUCUUGAGUGUAAUGGUAUGAUUAAAAUUAAACGUGCGAAAGCUUUAAAUAAACACAUGUUAGAUAUACAUCAUGAUAUUUGGCGAAUAGAACAAUGUCCACAAAAAGAAACCAAUAUGCCUGGGCCAUCAACUAAAUCUCAAUGUUAAAGAAGAAAUGAUUUAUCCUGUCCAAACAAAGGUUCUAUAUUCAAGUACCACGACCAGCAGUAAAAACAAUCUUGACUUAGGCGAUUUAAAUGAUUUGGAGU